CGGCCCCGCCCCCGCCCCGAGAUCGCCCGCCCCGGCCCGGCCCCGCCCCCGCCGCGAGGAGGGGUCCCGGCCCCGCCUCCCGGGCGCGCGCUCUCGGCCCUCCCCGGCACGCUGCGGCUCCCGCCCACCCUCGCAGCGCGCCCCGGCCGCAGGAGGCGCCCGGCUCCGCGGAGCAGGACGCAGAGGCCCGCGGGAGGGGGCUCCCUCCCCACCCCUAGCACACCGAGGCCCGGGGGCGCCGGCGGGGCUUCCCCAGCUCGCAGCGCCCACGCCCGGGACUCCCCGCCGGCCCGCUGGCCCGCCGCGCCGGGCCUCGCUCUGUCUUCCUGUUGGCUGGAGUGCGGACGCGGCCGGGCCGGGUGCCCACCGCCGGGCGGGCUGGGCCGGGCCCUGCCCCUGAGACGACGAGCCGGGCAGACUCCGGGAUGGGAGGCUCUCGCUGGUGGAGCGCCUCUAGGAGCAGCCCCUACCUGGAUCCUCCGGUCUUCUGCUCUCACUUUCCAGAGGUCCCCACCGCCCCUAGCCUUCUGGGAGAACACCAAGAAGGGAUGGAGAGACAGCUCUUCCCAGCUGAAGCCUAAUGGUUGGAAACGGGACAAUUCCUGAGGAGGCCUGAGUUGAUCACAGGGGCUGGCUCAUGGUACAGACCAUCUAGGACUUUGGUCUCAAACAGCAGGUGGUGGCAGCUGUUACAAUGGAGUCAGCUCCUGGGAGAAUGGAGGUGGGCAGAGGGGCUGCAGCAAGUUGCUGGUGGGAGGACCCUGGGUUGUGGGAGAUGGAGAGGAGACUGGGCCAGACCAAGUGGGUCAUAGGACUGUGAGUGGAUUGGGAGGAGGAGGAGUCUAGUGAGACCUCCAGGAAUAGAGAGCCCUGGCAGAGAUGUGGAUCCCAAAACUCUGUUUUAAGAGGUGGAAGGGCUGGACUGGAAAGAGUAAAUAAUAAUGAUUCUUAAGUAAGUAAAUAUAGUGAUUCUUUACACCGCAGAGAAAAAGAGGGCCCUGGCACCCUAUACCUGGGAGGGAAGACCUGUUUGGAAAAUGGACUUAUAUCCAGCUUCCCAGUCCUGAUACCCUACUGGGGUAGGCUCUUUCCACCAAGCUGGACCCCUCUGGCCACAUGGAAUAUCGCUUGGGAAAUAAGCCUUAUGCCUUACCCUUUGCACAUGCCAUUCCCUGGGCCUGGAUGCCAUUUCCCACCCACCCCCAUGUCUCUACCUGUCUUGGUUGUGUCCACUCACAUGCCACUUCUCCGUGAUGCCCAGCUGUGAAUCCAUGGCACUUCCCCGAGCUAAGGGACCUGUAUUCAUUACUGUGUUUUGUGUGCUGGUCAUCUCACCCCCACCCCAUGGCUUCCCUUGGGUUGGGCUGGAGAGAAGGGUGAUGGAGGUGAGCUUCAUGUGACUUUUGCCCCCCUGGGAUCAAGUUUCCUUUCUGGCUCCUCCAUCCAGGUUCACAAAGGUCAACUCAUUCUCUCCCUCAGCAUCAACAGUAGGCCCACGCUGUGCUAGGCUGGACCCUUGGGGUUCUCCAGGUCUGGCCACCAGGCCUUUGCUCCCACACCCUGAGGUUCACCUUAGAACAUGGAAAGGAAGGAUAAUGGCUAUCAU
rnacentral:lncRNA from 12 species